rnacentral:rRNA from 1 species
UACCAGCACCCCGAGUGGUCGGGACGAUUAUUGGGCCUAAAGCAUCCGUAGCCGGUCAUGCAAGUCCUCCGUUAAAUCCAGCCGCUCAACGGUUGGGCUGCGGAGGAUACUACGUGGCUAGGAGGCGGGAGAGGCAAGCGGUACUCAGUGGGUAGGGGUAAAAUCCUUUGAUCCAUUGAAGGCCACCAGUGGCGAAGGCGGCUUGCCAGAACGCGAUCGACGGUGAGGGAUGAAAGCUGGGGGAGCAAAACGG